UGCUCUCGGUGAUGCACACGCUUCCGGGUUUUCAUUCACGUUUCUCCUGGCUGUAGCGGAGUAUACUGGUGGUAACCUUGUAGCCCUCCCUCCAUAAGCUUUGGGUAGUAGCUGGGGAAGCCCCAUACUGGCCAAUUUGGUCCCUGCAAGCAUUGAUUGACUGGGUGUUUGGGCCUGGGUCGGCGGCGUGUUGAUUUCCACGGCGCCGCCAUCGCUUCCCCGGGAUAAAGCUACAGUGUGCUGCUGUUUUGCCUUUCCCCUUUUUUUAUACAAGUGUUUUAUGC